GUCUCCUAACAGCCUCCGGGGCCGCCGUGAGAUGUGACCAUCUGCUUCCAGCGUCCCUUUCCGUCCCUUCUGCUUCUCCCCUCGCCAUCCAUCGUGCCGGGCCGUGCAUUCGUAAAUCCCGCUCCGGUCCGGGAGGGAAGACCAUGAUGGAGUGAGCCCACCCUGUCCAAGCCAGGACAAGCACAAAGGAGAAACAACAGCAAUGGCCAAGUUGACAGAAUCUAUGACUAAUGUCCUGGAGGGCGACUCCAUGGAUCAGGAUGUGGAGAGCCCCGUGGCCAUUCACCAGCCAAAGCUGCCUAAGCAGGCCAGGGAUGACCUGCCGAGACACAUCAGCCGGGACCGGACCAAGAGGAAGAUCCAGAGGUACGUGAGAAAAGAUGGGAAGUGCAACGUGCACCAUGGCAACGUGCGGGAGACCUACCGCUACCUGACCGACAUCUUCACCACCCUGGUGGACCUCAAGUGGAGGUUCAACCUGCUCAUCUUCGUCAUGGUCUACACGGUGACGUGGCUCUUUUUUGGAAUGAUCUGGUGGCUGAUCGCAUAUAUCCGAGGAGACAUGGACCACAUAGAGGACUCCUCAUGGACUCCCUGUGUCACCAACCUCAACGGGUUCGUCUCUGCUUUUUUAUUCUCCAUCGAGACGGAAACCACCAUUGGUUAUGGCUACCGGGUCAUCACAGAUAAGUGCCCGGAGGGAAUUAUUCUCCUCUUAAUCCAGUCUGUGCUGGGAUCCAUUGUCAACGCAUUCAUGGUGGGAUGCAUGUUUGUAAAAAUAUCACAACCCAAGAAGAGGGCAGAGACCCUGGUGUUUUCCACCCACGCAGUGAUCUCUAUGCGGGACGGGAAACUGUGCCUGAUGUUCCGGGUUGGGGACCUUCGGAAUUCCCACAUUGUGGAGGCCUCCAUCAGAGCCAAGCUGAUCAAAUCCAAACAGACUUCAGAAGGGGAGUUUAUCCCCCUGAACCAGACGGACAUCAACGUAGGCUACUACACUGGGGAUGACCGUCUGUUUCUGGUGUCACCACUGAUCAUUAGCCAUGAAAUUAACCAACAGAGUCCUUUCUGGGAGAUCUCCAAAGCCCAGCUGCCUAAAGAGGAACUGGAAAUUGUGGUCAUCCUAGAAGGAAUGGUGGAAGCCACAGGGAUGACGUGCCAGGCUCGGAGCUCCUACAUCACCAGCGAAAUCCUCUGGGGUUACCGCUUCACCCCGGUGCUGACGCUGGAGGACGGGUUCUACGAAGUGGACUACAACAGCUUCCACGAGACCUACGAGACCAGCACCCCGUCCCUCAGUGCCAAAGAGCUGGCCGAGCUGGCCAGCAGGGCGGAGCUGCCCCUCAGCUGGUCCGUGUCCAGCAAACUCAACCAGCACGCAGAACUGGAGACGGAGGAGGAGGACAAGAGCCCCGAGGAGCAAACGGAAAGGAAUGGCGACGUGGCCAACCUGGAGAACGAAUCCAAAGUGUAGGCCCUGCCGGGCAGCCCCUUCUAGCAGCUCCCGCCCCGGACGCAGCCUGCCCUGCCUUGUCUCUCAUGUUCUUUCUUGUCUGUCUCUCGUACUUCGUGCUUUAUUUACUUAUGUUUGAUUUUGACAUUACCGGAAUACCAAUCUUCAAGGUGUAAAAUAUCUACCUGCCCUCUCUCAGUUGUUCAGCUUGACGAGGUAGCCAGUGGAUUGGGUCCAAUGCCAAUGGGCCCGCUUUUGUGGCUCAAGCUUGGUCUCCUCCCCAAAUACCAACUGUUAACUUCUAGGGAUCAAACUACUUUUACCUGCAUGCAUUGUCCAAUACCAGGCCACUCAAAAGGGCGUGUCGAAGUUUUUACCUGGGGUGUGACAAGUAAGGUCUCUGCUGCCUGUUUAAUCACGAAGUAAGUUGCAGAGCGAGGCCUCCGCUGUGCAGAUCCCGGCCUCCGCUGUGCAGAUCCCAACACAUUUUAUUAUGACAGGUGAGGUGCUGGCCCGCGUGGGCACAGCAGGCAUAAUACCCAGGUGAGCUCAAGACAAACUACUGUACAUAUACAUAUGCCUUAUGUAAUUAUUUUCUUUUGGCAAUUAGAAAUAAACCCCAGCAUGUACAAAAGUACUGUAGAACAGAACUUCUAAAUAAUGUACAUAGAUGUAUCUUUAAUGUAAUUUCAGAUAUAUAACUUUAGAAAUAAUUAGAAAAAAAAGACCCCCAGCAUACAGUAGGCAUUUCUGUUUCAGUUGCCUGUGUUUUCCACGUUAUUUAAGGCAUGGCCUUUGUUCUGGGUCCCUGCCUGGCAGUCCUUAUGGUACUUCUCUGUCCCUCGCUGAUCCUUUUGUUAAAUCUAAUAAGCCAUAGGUCUGGUGGCAGUUGAGAGGUCUAGCAGAUGGCAGGACCCACCACCAACACGCUGACAUACUGUGACAUGUUUACAAAAUGGGUGUCAUUUUUUAAAAGAUAACGAGGGCCUCGCUGACUUUCCUGGGAGACAACGCCAGGAAUGGGACACUCGGUGAGGUCACCAGUGUCCCACUGCUACUCUUCACAUGAGCUGGUGCCCUUUGGCAUACAACAGUUGAGGAGAGUUUUCUGUAAAACCGCUGAUUCUCCAGCUGUUCCACCCCCAAACAUGAGAAACCACGGACUGCUCAAAGGAGACGUGGUAAGUGAGCAGAAGGUGGUCUGGGUCUAACGCCAGGAAAUUCAGGAAGGCGCGUUGCAGGCAACAGAAUGUAUACACUGACCUGUCAGAUGCUUUCACCCCACCUGGCACUCUGAGGAUGAGAUCUUGCCUGUCCCCAGGGGCCUGUUCAUCCACAUUUCUUGAACUGGGAUUUUUUUCUUCUUCUCCUUGUCCUUCUUCUUUUUCUAGUUUGCAGUGACCAGAGUUCAGUGUUCAAAGAUUAGAUAAACAUUUUUUGUGACUGUCUAAGAGAUUCUAGAGUGUGCCACUAUUUAAAAAUCAAAUCCAAAGUGUCUUUCGAUCAAAAGAGAACAAACAAACAAAAAAAUGGCAGCCUUAACUCAUUUUAACGUGCAAAGAGGAAGGAAAGGGAAAGAAGAGAAGAAGGGUAUUUUGUAUGGAAAAUCUGAACUUCAAAAUGAAACAAAUAAGAAAAGAGAGAGAAUCUUAGACAAAACCUCAGGGGCAGGUGGAGAUUUUGCACUGUGACAGAUCUUUCACAUUGAUUUUUGCAUUUAUAAACUGUUUGUUCUUUACCACAGUGGCCCAUCAUGAAUAUUCACUGAAUGGAUCCAAGUCUAUUUUCAGCUCCUCCAGCUGUGCUCGGUUUGGGCGGAGGUGGCAGAGAUCAAGCUGGCCGUCCCUCCGAGUCUCCCUCGCCGUCCCCGCAGGCUGCACGGCCUUUGCUCUAGACAGGGACCCUGUCUGCUGACAAGGACGCCCCAGCGCUAAGGAGAGCGGCUCCUCCCCUGAACAUCCGGGGUCUCUUCCGCUGCAGAGACCUGGCAUGGGGUACCGCUUUGGCACUGGCUCUUCGGAAACCCAAGCUGUCGGCUGUAGCCCUCUCCUGUGUUCCGCAUUUCCUUGUUGGCAUCGGUGAUCUAUCUGUUGAGUCACGUGUCCAUCCCACGCACCCGUAGGAGGAAGUAGUCGAGGUGGAGGGUGCCCAGUACACCUGCCGCAGCCUGACCUUGUGGCAGCCUUAGGAAGGGCGCCCUGGCCUGUGUCACCAAGCGAGGAGGAGCAGGGGGCUCCAAAACAUCUGUUCGGUUCACUCCUGAAAAUCCACUGGGCCUUUUUAAACCCAUUGCUAAGGCUUGAAGGACAAACACUUCCUGUGGUCGUGUUGCCUUUUCAGCUCGAGGCCUGAUGGCCUCUUGCUGUGCUUUAGCAAAGAGAUCGGAGACCUGGCCAGACCUGCACCGCAGCAGUUCCGCACCUGCGACAGGGCGCCCACUGUCUUGCUGUCACUGCACUUGGAGACAGUACUGGAACCAAAUCUCGUUUUUUUGUAACGUGAGUUCUGAAUCUGUAAAGGAGGCUGCUCCUGAAGGACCUUUUAUUAGAAUGUCCCUCUCAAACAUGUCUAUUUUUCUACAGUUAUCGAGAACACAGUUUAACAGUGUAUUUUGUGUCAACUGUUAAAAUUUGGAACUGAAAGAAGUUCAUUAAGACUGAAUUUUCUAAGCAGUAAGUAGGGAAUGGGGUUUUUUGCAUUAAGACAGUUCAACAAAAUUGACCCCACGAUGUCUACCCUUUCUACUCCCGAGACCCAAGCCUCAUUCCUGCACUCACUGUCUUAGCAAAGUGCGUGCUAUGAAAACAAAUAAGCUGAUUGGAAUGGGACAAUAAUCAAUGAGGUCACCCUCAAGGAGAUAUUCUGGGCUGUUCGGUCGGUGUAGUUGAGUCAAUUUUCCCUAAAGCCCGGUGGGAUCCAUGAGCUUGACAAGAACCUUGGACUGUAGGAGUCAUUCGUCCCAGGUGACCCCAGUGUGGCAGAGGAAGGUCCUCCGGGAGCAAAGGGCAGGUGGAGCUGGAGGGGUGACUUCCUGGGAGUCCUCGGGGGGUUUUCACUUCUUCUGCCCAGUGAGAAGCGCACCUAUCAUCUUGAAAUCAACUUCAAGCGAUUAAGAAAAUCACUCAUUUCUUGGCUGUGCCAAGAACUGCAGGGCACACGGCCCUCUUUUGCACUAGCACACUUGCGGGUCCUGUGAGUCAGCCGUCUCCACGGGGUAUUCCCCACAAGCAGCCGCUCUAUGUCCGUGAAACAAAACACGCUCUCCCCACUCCCUCCUUCCCUCUGUCCCCUCUUCUCUUUCCCUAGUUGUCUGGUUGGAAAACACCCAUCAGUCCAAUUGGGUAUCAGUUUCCCUAACAGAAAUCCAGCUCUUGUCUCCAAAACUGUCAACCUACUUCUUAAGCACAACUUUCUCUUAGCAGGUUUAACCAACCUAGAACUCUGCUGUGCUCAUUUGUCCGUCCUCUAAUGGAGAAAUUCUUUCUGACUUCAUGUAAAAGUCUUAAGUUUUCAAGUCUCCAGAGCAACAUUCUUAUGCUUUCCUUCCCUGCAUCUUCUAACAUUUCUACUCUCUUGCUUUCCCCCAAACACCUGUUUUGUUUUGUUUUGUUUUUUAAUUUAGAUUCAAACCAGUAUCUUUGGGCUUUUCAGAAUCCAGUGGCAGAGGCGGGACUAGGUGGACAGAGAAAGAAAGCGUAAGAAUGCUGUUGACUAGCUGAGAAGACACGAUAGUAAGUCACUUCUGACACAGUUUGUCGCCUUUCUAGUUCUUCUGUCCUUGAAUUGGGUGAUUCUCUAUGUGAUUCAGAAGAGUCGGGAAGGCGGCUACAAAUUAAACAUCCCACUCGUGGCCACUGUCAUCUUCUAGGAUGAUUUCCUCCCCAUGGUUGACUAUAAAGUGGAAAAACAAAGGUAACAAAAAAAUAAUAUAUAGCUCGUUGAUAUUACGUUACAAUCCAGCCAAUUCGUGUUAUCUUGUUUCUAGACUUUAUGGCAAAAAUACUUUUAAGAAAAUGUUAUCCUUUGAUUUAAAAUUGAGUGAAACACAUUUCUUUCCAACAGUUCUGCCCUUAAUGUCUUAGAGGACUUUUGGAUGCAGAGAGUCACCUAGAAGCCGGAAUCCUGUCAGGGCCUACAGCUCACAGGUGUUGCAUGUGGGGAAGAUGGCCUGGAACAGCUCGCCUGUGAGUUCGCGGUCCAGCCUCCAGCCACUCAGCUAGAGGUCCAGUGUGCGAAUCCGGAAUGAACUUCGCUCGGAAACCCCAAAGGCGCUCUGCCAAGAGCUCUGCGAGAAGAGAAGCCCGCAAGGCUUGCUGGACUGUGUGUCGCCUUCUGUGAAGCACAAGGAUCCUGGUGUCUCGGCUCCUGUCCUAACCCUGGAGAAACCUCAAAGCCAAGAGCUUAGCCUGCCAUCCCCGUCCAGGGAAGAUUUGAAGGCUAACUUCCACCCCAGAGGAGGCUUUUCCCAGACCCGGCUCUGUCUCCCUGUGCCCCGAUGUCACAGGAAUCCAUCCUAAAGACAAGACCGGAAAAGCCUAGCUCCUCAAACCCCUGCUGGUCCCCACCACAUCUGGGUAAACUGAGGACAGACCGGGCUUGCUGGAGGCCACAGUCAAGAAAGAGUUUAGGUCUCAUUUCCAACUUCUCCCCCACAAGAUCAGUCUCAAAAGAACAUUGUUUUCCACUAUUAUAGACUUGUGAUGAACGGAUUAACUCCUCCCCUGAAGGCCACGACCACUCACUGGCUCCUUAGAUCUGGGUGCAGGGUGUUCUCUUAUCUAAGCUUUAAAGUCCUGAAGCCUCCUAUUUUCUAGCUGAGAAAACCAAGACUCGGAUUAAAAAUUGAGCCCAAAAUUCCACUGCAAAGUGCAAUUUGUAACCAUACAAUCCUAACAGUGCAUUGAAAGUGUUGCUGCCAGUUACACAGUACACAGCCUGAGAGGUAUCAAGAGGAAGAAGCCCGAACCAGCACCAGCCAUCAUACCGCCCACCACGGGGACAGGGUGACGGGGCUCAUGCUGGAGGGGACAGGGGAACGAGUGUCACAGCCACGACACUGAGGCCAGGAGGAGCAGCGCCCUGGCUAGCGAUGGCGUCAGUGACCUCCUCGGCUGGGCCACUCCACUGACACGAGACCCUGGUGGUCGCUCUCACAGCUGUCCCUCAAGCAGGACACGGAAAGGCCACUGCAUCCACCUCAGGCCACACCGGGGCAGGCCUCAAGGCAAUUGAGAGUUGGUGAGCGGGGCCCACCCCAUGCUGUCCUUCCCUAAGCCCUGGAAAGGCCUCGCGGAGAGCUCUGAGUGAUCACCGGGGAAGGGAAUCCCAGAGCCCGGCCUCCAGGGAGCCCUGCACUGUACCCCAGACGGACCAGCAGCCAAGAGCUGUGGGGCUCCAGCCGAGCCGAGCUACGGUGGGCUUGGACCCACUCUCAGCAGCCCAGAGCUACACCUCCAGGAAGACUCCAGGCUCAGUGCAAAACAUGGCCAUAAUUUAAAACAAAGUUUUAUAAAUGCACCAUUAAAUCCAUGAAAAACAAGUUUGAAAAGUACUCAAAAUCCAUUCCUUCCAUGCCAUUCCACCAUAUUCUCUACUACGUCCUUGGACCACGGACGCCUGUGGUACCCGGGAGGUGGAGAUACGCAGGGGAGAGCUGUCACACAACCCCUCCUGGCUCCAGAUUCAGUGGCCGCAAGCUGGCAGCUGAAAAUGGGUCAUGGUGGGAUAUUUACAACACACAAAUGGGCACAUAUUAUUACGGCCUCCGUUUUCCUGAGUCCGUCUGAAGCAUUUGCCAGAACCAACAAGAGAUGACUCUGAAAGACAGUGGAGAAGGUAAAUGUUUUCAGGAGACCUAACUUCAGGAGCUCUCUCAUUGUCCAUACGGCACUGAAGGAGAAAAGGCUGGGACACAUCAUGGCCAGGGGUGGGGAGGGCGGCUAACUGGGGCCCCAGAAGCAGCACGAUGACGAUCAGGAUGAACGCGCUGGCUAAGAAGACUCUGGAUUAAGCGCCAAGUGUGUGAAUGCUGUGUCUCGAGGAAGUGCUCACUAGGACUGCACAGAGGAGGGGCUCUCGGUCCCCUGGAAGACAAGAAGAUUCAGCCAACAGUGAGGAGCACCGGGGGAAGUCACUGGUUGCUAGGGAAAGGUGGGACCACAUUCAGCCAUUCCUUCUCAUCCAGAUAGAAAAAUCCACUUCAGGGGGUCAGGCGGACUCAGGGCUCACGGGAUGACCACAGAGAAGGAGCCAAAGGAGUCAGGGCUGAAUCCCUCAACACACCUCCUUACUUCUCCAGGGAGAAGGGUGGCUCAAGGUCCGAGGGACUCUCACCUCAGCUCAUCCCCUCGGACUCGGGAAGAACUUAUCCUGUGACACAGCCGGGCCACCUCCUUGGUCCUACUUUGUUGCUCUGCUGAGAAUCCCAGAGCAUCCUCCAGGGAGAUAGCGGAGAGGAUCCACAUGGCGAAGCUCUUGAGGGAACAGCUGAGGUCUAGGCUGUGAUCUCCACUCUGAGUGCCCCAUGCAAACCUGAUGCCCUCCCGGGACACAUGGGGGAGUCCUUGGGGCCAGAUGCGCCGUCUGAGUCACCCAGGGCCAGGUUGCCUGGGUUUGUCCCCACUGAUCUCAGCUUACCUGGUAGGUGUGCGGUUGAGGCAAAGGUGCUGAAUGAUGACAGAAUGUUGAGCUUCUGACACACAUUAAAAGAGACACCCAAGAGCUCAGCCAUGUUGCCCAGGGAACGGCCACCCUCACCGCUUCCUGUCAGACACCUUUCGGCCUCUUCACCUGGAGAGCUACUGAAAUCAUCCUUCACCAUUCUAGGGGGCAACUUUGCCUACUGCCUAGCCCUGCCCCGGCUGGAUGAGAGCCCCAUCAAGAUUGAAUGUCCCAGGAAUGCACUGCUGCAUAGAAUUCCACACUGAACACAGAGGCUUUGAACUAUUGUUUUGCUCACGAUUCUGUGGGUCCAGAAUGUGGGGAGGGCAACGCCGGGGCAGUGUGUCACGAAGACACAUGCUGGGUGCCUCCACUCUCUGGGUUUGCUCUCUGUCUGCAGUUCCCCGGGAUUUGCCCAAGACCAGGGCUCUCCACAGCACGGACGUCUCCAUAUGAUCCCCUUCUUAAAGGACAGCAACUACCAUGGGGUGAGAAGCCAAGCUGUUCAGGGAGAGGUAACGCCAGAGACUCCCUCUGUGUCCACACAGACAGGCUCAGGGAGUGGGACCCCACCGUGGACGUGCCAGGUCCACAUGCAGGAAGGGCAUGCACAUGGGAAACUCCGUGCCAUCGUCCUGGAAAAGCACAACCUGCCAACACUAAGUCUUCUCCUUCCUACUGAGGCAGGGCUAGGGAAGGGCUUGGUGAGAAGGUCCAAUGCUCAGCCCAGUUCUCCCUACUCCUCCUACUUCACACCCACUGUGGCUUCCUCUGCUCCCUUUCCCAUUGCUGGUGAAAGUUGCAAUGAGAAAAGCUCACCAUAUUUGUAGCAGCCCAGAUGGAGGGAUCUUUUAUCUCCCCAGCGGAAACACUGGAGUCAAGAUCUGUUCGUGUCCUCCUGCGUUUUCAGCAGGGCUGAAGGCACAAGAGAUGUCCUUUGAAACCCUACAAACCCAGCAUCGGCUCUUACUGCUACAAAAUGAGCAACCAGCGGGUGGGCUUCCAUGAGCCCUGAAAUUAGAAGCCAGCAGAGAGAAAUGCAGUCAGAUGGGUACACAACAGGGCCCAGGUACGCAACUGAUGCCAAAUGGAAUCCGGGCCAACAUCCCCAAGGCUUUAUCCAUGCUGCUAGGAGAGUGGCAGGGGCCAGCGGUCCAGAGAGACAAACCUAGGUGGAACCCAGCUCUCCACCUACACCAACUACGUGGCUGGCAGUUAUGAACUGAUACCCGAGCAGUGCCUCCACCCACCCAGGGUUAGCCCAGACUGGAUGCCCAUUCAUCCACAACUCACAUCUCUGUGCACAGAGUGAUAGCCGUUAGGUGAUGCACUCUGCCUCUGUCCGGCUGCAGAAGCCCAGACGACCUAUUGACAAAGCACCUCCCCACCAGGAGCAAGGUGCCCGGCUGUCCUUGCUCGCCACACCCUUGUCCCCAAUGAGUGGUGAGGUGGGAGUCUGCACUCAGGCCCUCAGAAGGGGAGUGAAGUCUCUAUAAGGCCCGCAAGGACACAGGACCGAAAGACCUUGAUCUGAGCUUUUUGCAGCCCCCACCGAAUUCUUGCAUUUAAAUAAAGUGUGAUUAAAAGAAUAAGUUUUUAAAAUGUAUUGCAGUAAAAGAUUCACUGCUACACACUGGGGACCUCUGAAACAUUACUGGAAACCUCUGUAGUAGGCUCCAGUCUCCUGCUCAGUAUAGGACGCAGGCCUGAGAAAGAAAACCUAAAAGACAGAACUAAGAGAGACAGGAACAGGGGCACCAGGAUGGCCAAUGCCAGUGCAACCAGCAGAGGCACUGGCCAGUCCAAGCCGCUGAUUUUUAUUGGUCAUCGAUGUGGGUAAAGGCGAGCUCCGUGCAAGGGCAGAACUACGUGUGAGGAUGAGCAGUCCUGUGGUUUCUGUGAAAAUUAACGCAAGCAAGGCUGGUGAAGGGCGAGACAAAGCACUCUCCAAUUAGGAGCAGAAUAGAUAAGACAUAUGGUUGUAAUUCCAACACUGUCCUUCCAGUGAGAAGGUCUUAGUUAUGGGAAUGGAAUUUUGGUGUGAAUUUUUCUGACCUCCGCACAUAGGCUUCAGCUGGACUCGUUUCUCCAAACCAGCUAAUUGUGGGGUUCACUCUUCACAGCCUGCACUGCUCACAGCCUGCUUUGGGGCAUAAUCCAUAUUGCGGUCUCCCACAGCCAUAAACCCCCUGGAAACCCUCCCCCCUCGCUUCUGGAACACCUUACCCCACCGUUCUUACCUCUUUC